rnacentral:lncRNA from 1 species
AAAUCUAUUAGCGUACUAGGCUCUUUGCGGGACGGAAGCUAGCAGCGCUACUCGUGCGUGCACUGACAUAAUACACAAGCGGGAUGCACGGUCCUGCAAUAAAGUAUGCGCGUCGUAUUGACCUGCUCAACAUGCAGGCCGGUAAAGGCUGCCCUGUGUCACGGCGUCGUGAUUCCAUAUAUAUGUAUUGUCAAAUGGAGAACAAUGAAAGCAAGUCACCAUCGUAGUAGCAGUGCUGGUUAAUGUACCUGUGCUCCCCUCAACCUUCAGUCUUAAUAAUUUAGAUAAGAGCGAUUUUGACUCAUGCAUUAAGUUUCCUUCGCCCGCCUGCAGGAAUCAGCGGCUGCGGCCAAGGCCCAGUUUGACAAGUUCGUGUUGGACAAGACGGAGGAGAAAGCGGCCUUUGACCUGGUGCUGGAAAAGACGGCGGCUGAGGCGGCGGCACAGAAGGCCAUUGCUGACAAGGCGUUAGUUGACUUCGGCGAGCUGCAGGUAUUGUGCUUGGGGAAGGGUCUCGCGUACUUCGAGGAGGUCUGGAUUGAUAAUCACCCCAAAUUCUGCUGCUCACGAGCAGGAGUCUUCAACGGCUGCUAAGGCCCAGUUUGACAAGUUCGUAUUGGACAAGGCGGAGGAGAAAGCGGCCUUUGACUUGGUGCUGGAGAAGACGACGGCUGAGGCGGCGGCACAGAAGGCCAUUGCUGACAAGGCGUUAGUGGACUUCGGCGAGCUGCAGGUAUUGUGCUUGGGGAAGGGUCUCGCGUACUUCGAGGAGGUCUGGAUUGAUAAUCACCCCAAAUUCUGCUGCUCACGAGCAGGAGUCUUCAACUGCCGCCAAGGCCCAGUUUGACAAGUUCGUGUUGGACAAGGCGGAGGAGAAAGCGGCCUUUGAUCUGGUGCUGGAGAAGACCACAGCUGAGGCGGCGGCACAGAAGGCCAUUGCUGACAAGGCGUUAGUGGACUUCGGCGAGCUGCAGGUAUUGUGCUUGGGGAAGGGUCUCGCGUACUUCGAGGAGGUCUGGAUUGAUAAUCACCCCAAAUUCUGCUGCUCACGAGCAGGAGUCUUCAACUGCCGCCAAGGCCCAGUUUGACAAGUUCGUGUUGGACAAGGCGGAGGAGAAAGCGGCCUUUGAUCUGGUGCUGGAGAAGACGACAGCUGAGGCGGCGGCACAGAAGGCCAUUGCUGACAAGGCGUUAGUGGACUUCGGCGAGCUGCAGGUAUUCUGCUUGGGAAAGGGUCUCGCGUACUUCGAGGAGGUCUAUUAUUGAUAAUUAACCCAAAAUUGGCUGCUCACGAGCAGGAGUCUUCAACUGCCGCCAAGGCCCAGUUUGACAAGUUCGUGUUGGACAAGGCGGAGGAGAAAGCGGCCUUUGACUUGGUGCUGGAGAAGACGACGGCUGAGGCGGCGGCACAGAAGGCCAUUGCUGACAAGGCGUUAGUGGACUUCGGCGAGCUGCAGGUAUUCUGCUUGGGAAAGGGUCUCGCGUACUUCGAGAAGGUUUGUUUUGAUAAUUAACCCAAAAUUGGCUGCUCACGAGCAGGAGUCUUCAACUGCUGCUAAGGCCCAGUUUGACAAGUUCGUGUUGGACAAGGCGGAGGAGAAAGCGGCCUUUGAUCUUGGUGCUGGAGAAGACGACAGCUGAGGCGGCGGCACAGAAGGCCAUUGCUGACAAGGCGUUAGUGGACUUCGGCGAGCUGCAGGUAUUGUGCUUGGGAAAGGGUCUCGCGUACUUCGAGGAGGUCUGUUUUGAUUAUCACCCCAAAUAUUGCUGCUCACAAGCAGGAGUCUUCAACGGCUGCCAAGGCCCAGUUUGACAAGUUCGUGUUGGACAAGGCGGAGGAGAAAGCGGCCUUUGACUUGGUGCUGGAGAAGACGACAGCUGUGGCGGCGGCACAGAAGGCCAUUGCUGACAAGGCGUUAGUGGACUUCGGCGAGCUGCAGGUAUUCUGCUUGGGAAAGGGUCUCGCGUACUUCGAGAAGGUUUGUUUUGAUUAUUAACCCAAAAUUGGCUGCUCACAAGCAGGAGUCUUCAACGGCUGCUAAGGCCCAGUUUGACAAGUUCGUGUUGGACAAGGCGGAGGAGAAAGCGGCCUUUGACCUGGUGCUGGAGAAGACGACAGCUGAGGCGGCGGCACAGAAGGCCAUUGCUGACAAGGCGUUAGUGGACUUCGGGGAGCUGCAGGUUAGCGCAUGCACAUCUGGUCCAGGGUUUCGUAUGCAGGUCAACCUUUCUUGACCAUGUUGAAUAUUGAUUAGUAUCCGCGUGUGCUUAUUCCCGACGCUUUAGUGCCUUCACUGCUUGCGGUGUGUUCGCGCUGAUGUGCCGGAUUACCGGGCGUUUUAUCCUUAUCCCGCUCGCUGUCUGCAUCAUACUGGUAUGGUCCUUUCCCUCAGCAUUUGCCCAUUACCGAGGCUGAGGUUGGCGGUUAGUAGUAGGCACAGCGGGAAAGCGAUGCCCCUUUCACACCUGGGAAGUGUCGAUUCGUGCGCAUUUCGUGCUGCCGUAGGAGUCCGCCGCAACCACCAAGUCCCAGUUCGACAAGUUCGUGGCGGACAAGGCUGAGGAGAAAGCUGUCUUUGAUCACCUUCUGGAACAGACAGUGGCAGAGGUUGCGGCACAUAAGGCCAUUGCCGACAAGGCGCUGGUGGAUAUGGACGAAAUGCAG